rnacentral:rRNA from 1 species
UACAGAGGUCUCAAGCGUUGUUCGGAUUCAUUGGGCGUAAAGGGUGUGUAGGUGGCGCGCUAAGUCGGGUGUGAAAUUUCGGAGCUUAACUCCGAAACUGCAUUCGAUACUGGCGUGCUUGAGGACUGGAGAGGAGUACUGGAAUUCAUGGUGUAGCAGUGAAAUGCGUAGAGAUCAUGAGGAAGACCAGUGGCGAAGGCGGGUCUCUGGACAAGUUCCGUGACACUGGAGACACGAAGGCCAGGGGAGCAAACGGG